AAACAAUAACUAGUUUGGGACACCCCGAAAAGGGAAAAAAAAAACCUUAAAGGACAUGCAGACACAGGAACAGACUGUCAUAUGCAAAUUCUGAUCCAGUGAUCAUCACCAAGUUUCUCACGUCCACACAUAUAUAUAAAAAGCAGAUAACGCAUUUUAAUCAUUUUAUAUAAUCAAUGUAAAUACUACUGUAUAAAAUCUCUAUAGAUGAAUUGGGGAGAGGACUCUCUCUCUUCUCUCUCUAAAUUUUUCAGUGAGAGUAAGUCUUCUCCGAUAAUCUACCUUGGCUCCGGCAACGAAUAGCUUUUUCAGUGGUGUUGGUCGGCUUUCUUCUAGCGUUGUUGGCUCCCAUAGCAACGUCGGCUAGCUUUUCUACAGCAUCGGUGGCUUUUAUAGCACCGUUGGCUGGCUUAAUUCCGGCAUCGGUGGCUCCUUAGCACCAUUUGGCGCGGCCCUUGGCUCCGGCAUGCAUCUGCUUUCUAUGGGAUGAUGUCCGGCUUUGUUUCUCCGGCAACAAUGGCUUCUUUAGCAUCGUUUUGGUCGGCUUUCCUCCGGCAGCGGUGGCUACCUUAGCAUCGUUUAGGCCGGCUUUUCUCUGUUUGAUGGAUCGGUGGAGUUUGUUUGGCUUGCAGAUUUAUGAUAUCGAUUCUUCCUUGGAGAUUGGAAAGCUUUUUACUGAAGACGAAGGUGAUGAAACUCUGCCUUGGGGUCAAUUUCUCAGCAAAAUUGGAAUCCGCUGCUUUUUCUGGGUGUAACUUUCCGGCGAUUUCGACCGGAAUCGAAGUUUUCCGGUUAUACUUCCGUCUGCCGGUGAUCGGAGACUCCAUCCUUCGGCUUCCCACGUGUCAACUAACAUGUCCUCUCUUGCCACGUGAUCUGUGAUUCACGAUUUCUUCAGUCUAAAGGAAGAAUUAUAUUUGGGCCUGUGGACUUUUAGUUUUAGUUUGGUUGUAUUGUAGAAUUGUUUUUUGGCUUGUAAAUUUGGCCUGUUUAAUAGGCUUUUCUCAAUAAUAAAGACUUAUCUACAAACAA